UACGGGGGGGGCAAGCGUUGUUCGGAAUUACUGGGCGUAAAGGGCUCGUAGGUGGCCAACUAAGUCAGACGUGAAAUCCCUCAGCUUAACUGGGGAACUGCGUCUGAUACUGGAUGGCUUGAGUUUGGGAGAGGGAUGCGGAAUUCCAGGUGUAGCGGUGAAAUGCGUAGAUAUCUGGAGGAACACCGGUGGCGAAGGCGGCGUCCUGGACCGGUAUUGACGCUGAGGAGCGAAAGCCAGGGGAGCAAACGGG
rnacentral:rRNA from 1 species